CAGUGCGUGACCAAAGUGGACUCGUAGGACCCUGUGUUGUUUCCUUUUGGAGACAAACCGUUGC
rnacentral:rRNA from 1 species